AUGUACAUCUUGCCCGAGGGUGUGCAUAGUUCCUUUGACAAGGAGCUGGCUAGGUUCUUCUGGCAGGCAGGUGAUGGUCGGCCUAAGUAUCAUAUGGUGAAAUGGGCUGACAUUUUCUUUCCAAAGGACCAAGGUGGGUUGGGCAUCCCUCUGUCUCGCCGUAUGAACGUGGUGAUCAUGCUUCAUUGGGUUUGGCAGAUCUUGCGGGGAGAUGGAGGUUUGUGGCUGUAGCUGAUUGAGUCCAAGUACCUACAAGGCCAACCCAUCUUGGCUUGCUCGCACUCGACUGGGUCCUAG
rnacentral:rRNA from 1 species